GCGCGAAAACUCUACAAUGCACGAAAGUGUGAUAGGGGGACCCAGAGUGCUUAGUUUAACUAGGCUUUUGCCAAGAGUAAAUAUCUUGGAGAAUAAGUGGUGGGCAAGACUGGUGCCAGCCGCCGCGGUAAUACCAGCGCCACGAGUGGGAACUACUUUUAUUGGGCCUAAAGCGUCCGUAGCCGGUUUAAUAAAUUUCUUGUGAAAUUGUUGGACUUAAUCUAACAACGUGCAGGAAACACUGUUAAACUUGGGACUGGGAGGGGUUAGGAGUAUCUUUGGUGUAGCGGUAAAAUGUUAUGAUCCCAAAGAGACUACCGAUGGCGAAGGCACCUAACCAGAACAGGUCCGACGGUGAGGGACGAAAGCUAGGGGAGCAAACCGGAUUAGAUACCCGAGUAGUCCUAGCUGUAAACGCUGCGAGCAAGAUGUUGCGUAUUCUUCGUGAAUAUGCAGUAUCGAAGAGAAGUCGUUAAGCUCGCCGCCUGGGAAGUAUGGUCGCAAGGCUGAAACUUAAAGGAAUUGGCGGGGGAGCGACUAACG
rnacentral:rRNA from 1 species